GCUUGUCUCAAAGAUUAAGCCAUGCAUGUCUAAGUAUAAGCAAGUUAUACCGUGAAACUGCGAAUGGCUCAUUAAAUCAGUUAUCGUUUAUUUGAUAGUACCUUACUACUUGGAUAACCGUGGUAAUUCUAGAGCUAAUACAUGCUAAAAGCCCCGACUUCGGAAGGGGUGUAUUUAUUAGAUAAAAAACCAAUGCCCUUCGGGGCUCCUUGGUGAUUCAUAAUAACUUAACGAAUCGCAUGGCCUUGUGCCGGCGAUGGUUCAUUCAAAUUUCUGCCCUAUCAACUUUCGAUGGUAGUAUAUGGGACUACCAUGGUUUCAACGGGUAACGGGGAAUUAGGGUUCUAUUCCGGAGAGGGAGCCUGAGAAACGGCUACCACAUCCAAGGAAGGCAGCAGG
rnacentral:rRNA from 1 species